AAGUCGUAACAAGGUUUCCGUAGGUGAACCUGCGGAAGGAUCAUUAAUGAAAUUCUUGAAUCGUGGUUGUAGCUGGCCCGUAAAAACGGCAUGUGCACGCCACCUUUCACUAAUCCACACACACCUGUGCACCUUCGCGGGGGUUUCCGGGAGCACGACGUCAAGUCGUCAGUACCGGGAGCUCGCGUCCCUUUACACACCCCACUGUAUGUCUUAAGAAUGUCUACUCGAUGUAAUAAAACGCAUCUAAUACAACUUUCAACAACGGAUCUCUUGGCUCUC
rnacentral:misc_RNA from 1 species